rnacentral:rRNA from 1 species
GACGAACCGUGCGAACGUUGUUCGGAAUCACUGGGCUUAAAGGGCGCGUAGGCGGCAUUUCAAGUCCGGGGUGAAAGCCCCCAGCUUAACUGGGGAAGUGCCUUGGAAACUGGAGUGCUGGAGGGAGGUAGGGGUCGAGGGAACUUCUGGUGGAGCGGUGAAAUGCGCGGAUAUCAGGAGGAACACCGAUGGCGAAGGCAGGUCUCUGGGCUGUAACUGACGCUGAGGAGCGAAAGCAUGGGGAGCGAACAGG